rnacentral:rRNA from 2 species
GUUGACCUCGAAUCAGGUAGGAAUACCCGCUGAACUUAAGCAUAUCAAUAAGCGGAGG